GACGAGGACGUGCAAGGUGAAGACAUCCUGGACAUGCUAGACCAGGAGUAGGAGCUCGCCCAGCCAUCGACGGCUUCUCUACCACACCGUCGACCCACCUGCAGUUCUCCGACAAGCUGCUCUGCUCGGAUAGAGGAGAAGGAGACCAAGGCCUGCCUCUCCAAGCUCCUGCUCCUAUGUGUGCAAGGAAAUGGUAUCGUCAAUAGCUGCAGCUGGGCAUGUAUGCCUCCGGCAGCGACCUGAUGGAGGAGCUCGCUCAGUCUGACCCUGACCACGGCGGCGUCCAUGAAGCCAUCCUGCUGGAUCCCAAAGUGGUAGGUUGUUGUGUGACGCUGGUCGGCUGGUGCUAGGCGUAACCGCGGAACCAUGGAAGUAUUCUGCUUUCUCCACAACCUACUACUCAAGUGCAUGCUGCUUCUGGCCUGCCAUGGUUAAGUUAUUAAUUUGAUUGCUAUUUCUUUUGCCCUCUGAAACAAAAGUAUCUGUUAAUGUGAUUGCUAGUUGUUUUGGUCUGAAUGCUUAGUACACUGAAGAAACCGAACCUUCUGUUUUAUCUCGAGGGUAGUGUCUAUUGGAAUGAGUACAAGCAUGUCCUUUUGAUUUAACUAUCUGCUAGGAUAAAAUCUUUUAUUGUCUGGAGCUGAUAUUUACUAAUAUGAUGCACUAAAGUCAGCACACACGUGAUACCUCUGAACUAAGAAAUUAUACUUAGGCACCUUGUAUGCAUGCUUUUCUAGAUACAAACGCAGUUUCAUGUUCUUGUAAAAAAUUAAAGAGAGUGGCUAAAUUAAUGCUUCAUGCUAUUUUCUGUUUUGUUGUAUGACGCCUUGCUUCUGCUAUAGGACAGGCUUCCUGCUAAUUAUUGGAGUAUGCAGAGUUCCUGAUGUUGUUGCUCUGUUUCUAACAUAUGCACACCUGUUUAGCCUGUUGUGUUGUUUGGUUGAUUUGAUUAAGUGGAUAAAAACUAUUCUUUUAUAUUUUACUGGCUGGUUAAUUAAGUACUUGUUAUACUAGUACUUGGCUAGAAUGAAUUUUUUUAAGUUUGGUUGUUGUUCUCCUUGUUUGCUUAUGCUUUGGAAUUCCUGAAACUAACCUCUGUGUUUAUGCAUUUCUGUUUGAGGUGAUCGACCACCAACUACAACAUCCCCGUUGACGUGCUCAACAACCUCGAAAAGCCACUCCUAAUCAGCUGGUGAUCUCACUCAGCAACAUUCUUUUGGUUCCGGUUACGAUGAGUGCAAGCAAGUGUUAUUAAAAAUAAAUCUGGCUGAUCUUUGUAGACAAGUGGAAAUAAGUAAUUCUGGACAACUGCUAGAUAGGAAGCAUCACUCUAGCUAGCUACCUAGUUUGGCUAUCGAAAUAUGGAUUUCUGCCUCUUAACUAUUGCAUAGUGCUAAUUUAGGAUCACAAGUCAUUUGGUGAACUUUUUGCUGCUGAUUUAAGACAAGACCAUUUGGUUAUAUCUCUUGUCCCUUGUAUUCAUUUUGAAGAGAACCUUGUGUAUGUACAACUGCGCAUACCCUGUAGGUUCCCUGUUGUUGCAUAUGGAUGCUUCAACUUCUAGCCUCUACACCUUUGUGUUCUAUGCUAGCUUACCCGUGUAUACUGUUACUAGUUGAAACACUUUAUGAUUUUUUCAUUUAACUACAAUUUGUUAUUCUUGAUCUUGCUAGCUAGGUAUGCUGGGAUAUUAUUUGACAUGGGAUUACUUAUUUUGCGUCAUGAAUGUACAUGUUGUCGUGUCUUACUAAAUAUGCUUCAAAGUUCACCAUCAUUAUUUUGUGUUUUUUGUUGGAGGAUAACAACAAGAAGCGUAACAGAAGCCUUGUGCAUCCAUCACUUGGAAGGAAACAAGGGAGACACCAUCUUGUUGAUGCCCUGGUCUACAAUGCAUAUGGUUGCAAUGCAUCGGCGACCGUAACACCAACAUUCAUGUGUUGUAAUAAUUGUGAGCUGGUGGAUCAGCACCUGUUGAUGUUUGCUGUUUGGUGCUGCUUGGUGUUGCGGAAGUUCUGAUCA